UGCAGUUAAUCACAUACAUCAAUAUUUGCUGUGAAAGUCCCCCAAAUAAAGAUAAUUCAUAUAUAUGAUUCAUAAUAAUUCAAAUAUUUAUAAAUGUAAUACUGUAUGUAGGACCUAUUAUAAAUAUAUAAUACGGAUUGAAAUUAAAGUUGAAAUAAAUUGUAUUAUUGUGGCAGAGGAAUAAAGCAGAUGCAGACCUCAACACUUGGUGCACAAAGCACGAUAAUGGAAAACAAUCAACAGAUAUUUAUUUUUGUAUCAUCAACAGGUAAUUCUGCGUAGAAAAUGAACUUCAGACUUCACAAAAUAAGAAGUUACCAAACUUAACAAAAUCAACAAUUAAAACUAAUAAAAAUCAACAGUGAAACUAUGCAAGCUCAUUAUUUAAUAAGCCCGGUGCAUUCUAGGAACACCAGCUUCAAACAGUUUAGUAAAAUGUACUUACUUUUUUCACCUGUGAAAUUUACUCAAAUUAGCAAAUAAAUUUGACAUGGUUUUCUACUUUACGGUUGAUACAUAAUGAUGCAUUGUAAACAUUACAAACAGUCAUAAAUAAUAUUUACUUAUAAGCUAGAGCAUUCAUUUUUGCAUAUUUGAAUUGAGUACAAAUGUAGAAUUUAAAAGAUAAAGUUCACGCUAUAACUUAUCAAAUGUAGAAAUCACUUAAAGCUAGGGUGUGUAAUCCAGAGAGGCUAGCAGUUAGCAAGCUAGCUUUGAAAGCAUAGAGCCCGCCCUCGCAUCAGAGGUGUCUCCAAAGCCAUGCCUCCUAAAUACUUCAUUACAUUAACAAAAUAUAUCAAAAACAAAUCAAACCAUGUAAUUACCUGUCCUAAAGAAAAACAGCAACCAUGGCGUCAUUUUUCAGACCCUUUGAGUCCCGCAGUUGCCACCAGCCUGGAAAAGCAACACCAAUGUAAAUUCUGCUUUCAGCACACUCUUGAUCCAGACGUUUUUUUCAUUGUAGAAGUUUCUAACAUGGUCUUUCUUUUUUGUUUCCUUUUACUGGUGGUUCAGGAGGAACAUAAGGUAGCUGCGGUUCGCCUUCCAUUCUCGGGCUCGCUCUGCACAGCGUCAAGGAACAAGUUGCACGGCGGGUGCAUCCUGCCGCAGCCUUGGUUUUCUAGACACGUGGACAGUUUGCAUCCUGGCACGUUGUCUACGGAAGCUCCUGCCGCUGACUGUGCUUAAAGAAUAUCACAAAGCAAUUUAGAAAUUGUUGGCAGUCUAAGCCUGUUGAGCUGAAUAAAAUCCUCAUCUCCUGGCUGAAGGAAACGCAUCAGAAAGGCUCCAUCCCAGUUCAUCCGAAGUUAUGAGCCAACAUCAUCUUGAUUUAACUAUAUAAGUGUUGAACCAGCCCAGCUAACAGCGUACUAAUGUCAUGGCUUGCUAAUUACCUAAUAAUAGACCAUUUGCUUCCAAUGAAGUCUUUUACUCUGCAAUAACAAAGAGCAAAGCUUUCAAUUAUGCCAGUUGUUGUAAUGUAAUAUUGAUGAAAAUGCUACUAAAAGUGUCAUUUAAAUGUGAAGUAAUGUUUUUUAUUAACAGCUUUAAAAAAAACAAAAAAACAAUAAAGGUUGAUCUUCUGCAUUGUAAUAAACCAGAUCAUACUUAAUUUUACAAAAGUGAUAACAGCUCUUACUUGACAAUAUUGUUUCAUUUCCAUCUUUACUCAGUAUCAGUUUUUCGACGCUUCUACUCUUAACUACAAUGGUUAAAGGGAUCUUGCUAUAAUUUCCUGAGGCAUAGCUUUGAUUACAGUCACUGAGUCUAGUUCUUAAAACAGAGCAGAUCUCUUUGUUAAAGCAGUCUGAUUGCCUUGACCUGAGAUUCUGGUUUAUAAUGGAGUGUGGAGAGGAACCGCUGUGGCUGCUUCAUUUAAAAAAAGAAAUAAAUUAUUUCCAAUGCAGAGGGGUCAUUUUCUGCCAUAACAAGCAAAGGGAUAUUCAUGCUCUUUACAUUUUGCCAUAAAAUACUGUAUGUUUUGAGUAUCACUUUCUAAACUAGAAAUGACAGAUGUCCUUCCUGUUUGCUAAGAUUCAAAUUCCAUUUUUGCUUUGAAUAUUACAGCAAUCUCACCCUGUAGUCUUGUGAAAGAGAUACACUAUAUUGCCAAAAGUAUUCGCUCAUCUGCCUUUAGACACAUAUGAACUUAAGUGACAUCCCAUUCUUAAUCCAUAGGGUUUAAUAUGACGUCGGCCAACCCUUUGCAGCUAUAACAGCUUCAACUCUUCUGGGAAGGCUUUCCACAAGGUUUAGGAGUGUGUUUAUGGGAAUUUUUGACCAUUCGUCCAGAAGCGCAUUUGUGAGGUCAGACACUGAUGUUGGACGAGAAGGCCUGGCUCGCAGUCUUCACUCUAAUUCAUCCCAAAGGUGCUCUAUCGGGUUGAGGUCAGGACUCUGUGCAGGCCAGUCAAGUUCUUCCACACCAAACUCGCUCAUCCAUGUCUUUAUGGACCUUGUUUGUGCACUGGUGCGCAGUCAUGUUGGAACAGGAAGGGGCCAUCCCCAAACUGUUCCCACAAAGUUGGGAGCAUGGAAUUGUCCAAAAUCUCUUGGUAUGCUGAAGCAUUCAGAGUUCCUUUCACUGGAACUAAGGGGCCAAGCCCAGCUCCUGAAAAACAACCCCACACCAUAAUCCCCCCUCCACCAAACUUCACAGUUGGCACAAUGCAGUCAGACAAGUACCGUUCUCCUGGCAACCGCCAAACCCAGACUCGUCCAUCAGAUUGCCAGAUGGAGAAGCAUGAUUCGUCACUCCAGAGAACGCGUCUCCACUGCUCUAGAGUCCAGUGGCGGCGUGCUUUACACCACUGCAUCCGACGCUUUGCAUUGCACUUGGUGAUGUAUGGCUUGGAUGCAGCUGCUCGGCCAUGGAAACCCAUUCCAUGAAGCUCUCUACGCACUGUUCUUGAACUAAUCUGAAGGCCACAUGAACUUUGGAGGUCUGUAGCGAUUGACUCUGCAGAAAGUUGGCGACCUCUGCGCACUAUGUGCCUCAGCAUCCGCUGACCCCCGCUCUGUCAUUUUACGUGGCCUACCACUUCGUGGCUGAGUUGCUGUCAUUCCCAAUUGCUUCCACUUUGUUAUAAUACCACUGACAGUUGACUGUGGAAUAUUUAGUAGCGAGGAAAUUUCACGACUGGACUUGUUGCACAGGUGGUAUCCUAUCACAGUACCACGCUGGAAUUCACUGAGCUCCUGAGAGCAGCCCAUUCUUUCACAAAUGUUUGUAGAAGUAGUCUGCAUGCCUAGGUGCUUCAUUUGAUACACCUGUGGCCAUGGAAGUGAUUGGAACACCUGAAUUCAAUUAUUUGGAUGGGUGAGCGAAUACUUUUGGCAAUAUAGUGUAUGUCAGUAGACUUUUUGGUGAAUUUCUGAGUGUUUUCACUAAUACUGCCCCAGCAAGGGUUUUUAGGCAGUUUUGUUUUAGGUUGCCAAUUGACCAGGGAUUAAAUUGGGAUUUCAGAGGUGGGGGAACCCUAAAAUCGGGUGAUGUUUCAGCUGGGACACCUUCUUCAUGCCCUAGGUUGGGGGUCAUCUUUUAGAAAAUGUUAAACUUAAAUCUAAAUAUGUUACAAUUUAAAAAUACAUGCACAUUGUUCUUAACAGGGGAAACAAACACCUUCUGCACAACUACCUUUUACUCAAAUUGUUACUCUGGUAAUACUGUACAAUUUGUAAUGAAAACAUUUGCAUUAAAUUAUAUUAA